GUUGUUCGGAAUUACUGGGCGUAAAGGGCGCGUAGGCGGCCCGCUAAGUCGAACGUGAAAUCCCUGGGCUCAACCCAGGAACUGCGUCCGAUACUGGUGGGCUUGAAUCCGGGAGAGGGAUGUGGAAUUCCAGGUGUAGCGGUGAAAUGCGUAGAUAUCGGGAGGAACACCAAUUGCGAAGGCAGCUCGCUGGGACGGUACUGACGCUGAGGCGCGAAAGCGUGGGGAGCAAACAGG
rnacentral:rRNA from 1 species